GGAAUAUUGGACAAUGGGCGAAAGCCUGAUCCAGCAAUGCCGCGUGAGUGAUGAAGGCCUUAGGGUUGUAAAGCUCUUUUACCCGGGAUGAUGAUGACAGUACCGGGAGAAUAAGCCCCGGCUACCUCCGUGCCAGCAGCCGCGGUAAUACGGAGGGGGCUAGCGUUGUUCGGAAUUACUGGGCGUAAAGCGCACGUAGGCGGCUUUGUAAGUUAGAGGUGAAAGCCCGGAGCUCGACUCCGGAACUGCCUUUAAGACUGCAUCGCUUGAACGUCGGAGAGGUAAGUGGAAUUCCGAGUGUAGAGGUGAAAUGCGUAGAUAUUGGGAGGAACACCGGUGGCGAAGGCGGCCAUCUGGACCGGUCCUGACGCUGAGGCGCGAAAGCGUGGGGAGCAAA
rnacentral:rRNA from 1 species